UGCUGCAACUUUGGAUGAACUUCUGAGCCCGAGCAGUCGAGAGGCGGACGUUGGAGUACCCAGACGAGUGUCAGUGAGGUGAAGAGACUCGAUGGUUAACGUAUACGUUCAGUCGUAUGUCUUCUUUUUAUUCAACACGGCUCCGUUCUUCGUGACCGUGGUAGCGCCCGAGCCUUUAGCCCCCGGACGGCGGCUCCGCAGUUGAACUUUUGCGAGAAGCCGAAAGGUGGAUAAAUAAAUAAAAGACCAAACGGCUGCAGAGCUGGUGAGCCGCCCAGAGUGAGGGAGUACCACCAACAGCGCCCCGAACGGUGGCCCUGAAGUGUCUUCUGGCCGCUCCUCCUUCCCCAUGAUGCUGGUCUUCACCUGAGCCCCUCUUCACCUCCAUCCCGACCAUCC